rnacentral:rRNA from 1 species
AUGUUAAGUGGCGAGGUACCUUCCGAUCUCGGUAACUCUCUGCCUAAUCUCCAGAUACUUUCGUUAGCCCAGAACCUUUUUCAUGGGAAACUCCCCCAUUCAUUCGUAAAUGCAUCCAGUCUACGUGUCUUGGAUAUAUCGACCAAUAAUUUUACCGGGGUUGUGCCUAGCUCCAUUGGCAGACUCUCCAAGCUUGUCAAGUUAAAUAUUGAGACGAAUAAGGUCCAAGCACGCAACAAGCAAGAAUGGGAUUUUGUGAGUAGCUUAGCAAACUGUACUGAGCUACAAGGUCUCUCGUUAGCAAGUAAUCUUUUAGAAGGUCAGGUGCCAAAUUCGUUGGGUAACCUUUCCAUAAAUCUUCAAUAUCUGUUUUUGGGACAAAAUCGGUUGGCAGGGAACUUUCCCUCCGGCACAGCAAACUUUCCCAACCUGAUCAUUUUAGGAUUGGACUACAAUCGAUUUACAGGCGUGGUACCACACUGGCUGGGAGCUUUCAAAUUUUUGCAAAAACUGAGCUUAUCCACCAACAUGUUUACAGGCAACAUACCUUCCUCCCUUUCCAAUUUAUCCCAAUUAAUAGAACUCCUUCUAGAAAACCAAUUCAUUGGGCACAUACCGAUAAGCUUGGGAAACCUUCAAUCACUUGAAACACUGAGCGUUUCCAGUAAUAAACUUCAUGGUAGGGUACCAGAGGGGAUCUUCAGCAUUUCAACAAUAAGGGAAAUUGGAUUAUCAUCCAACAACCUUGAUGGACAACUUCCUGCAGAAGUAGGCAACGCCAAGCAGCUUGUGAUUUUGUUGCUUUCAGCCAACAAGUUAUCUGGAGAUAUUCCAAGCACUAUGGGUGCUUGCAAAAGUUUGGAAGACAUUGAGUUGGACAGUAAUAUUUUCAGUGGCAACAUCCCUGUUUCAUUUGGCAACCUAUUUGGCCUAAAAGUCCUCAACUUGUCUUACAAUAACUUAACUGGAUCAGUACCAGCGUCUAUUGGGAACCUUCAGCAUCUUGAACAACUAGAUUUGUUGUUCAACCAUCUUGAGGGCAAGGUUCCAGUACAUGGAAUAUUCAAGAACGCAACUGCCACACAUAUUGAUGGAAAUCAGGGCCUUUGUGGUGGGGCAUCGAACUUACACCUGCCUUCAUGUUCUGUUAUGUCUUCAUAUUUAUCUAAACACAGGCUACCUGUAAUACUCAAAGUAGCGAUCCCACUCGCUUGCAUGCUUUCACUGCUUGCUAUGGUGAUCUUUGUAUUACUUUGGCAGAGGAAAAACCAUUUGAAAACAUCCAUUUCUUCGCUCUCAUUUGAUGGUAAAUUCCCCAAAGUCUCUUAUAAGGAUCUUGUUAGAGCAACUGAUGGAUUCUCUUUAUCCAAUUUAAUUGGCACGGGAAGAUACAGUUCAGUAUAUAGAGGGAAGAUACUUCAAGAAGAAAAUGUGGUUGCCGUGAAAGUAUUUUGCUUAGAGACAAGGGGAGCACAGAGGAGCUUCAUUGCAGAGUGCAAUGCUUUGCGAAAUGUGCGACACCGCAAUCUAGUCCGUAUCGUAACUGCAUGCUCUAGCAUUGAUUCUAGCGGAAAUGAUUUCAAGGCGCUAGUGUAUGAGUUCAUGCCAGGAGGGGAUUUGCAUAACUUGCUAUACUCAACGGAAGACAAUGACAACUCUUUAAAACGGAGCUACAUUUCACUUGCUCAAAGGUUAAGCAUUGUGGUUGGUGUAGCAGAUGCAAUGGCGUACCUACACCAUAACCACCACGGGAGUAUUGUUCAUUGUGAUCUCAAACCUAGCAACAUUCUUCUGGAUAAUGACAUGGUAGCUCAUGUUGGAGACUUUGGACUCGCAAGGUUGCAAGUCUCAUCAUCCUUUGGUGGCUCGACAUCAGUUUCUUCGGUUGCAAUCAGGGGAACCAUAGGAUAUGUUGCUCCAGAAUAUGGAGCGGGUGGUCAAGUUUCUACCGCUGCCGAUGUUUACAGCUUUGGGGUCGUUCUCCUUGAAAUAUUCAUACGAAAGAGCCCAACAGAUGGCAUGUUCAAGGACGGAUUAAGCAUUGCAAAGUUUGCAGAGAACUUCCCUGAGAAGAUGAUGCAGAUCGUCGAUCCACAACUGGUACAAGAGUUGGACCUUUGCGAAGAAGCUCCAUCGGCGGAGGAUAAUGGAGUGCAUUGUUUACUUUCUGUGCUGAAUGUUGGCCUUUGCUGCACCAAGUCCUUUCCAAGUGAACGCAUCAGCAUGGAGGAGGUGGCUGGCAGGCUGCAUAGAAUCAGGGAUGCAUAUAUUGGAGGCUAA